UACAGAGGUCUCAAGCGUUGUUCGGAUUCAUUGGGCGUAAAGGGCGCGUAGGCGGCCUACUAAGUCGGACGUGAAAUCCCUCGGCUCAACCGAGGAACUGCGUCCGAUACUGGCGAGGCUUGAAUUCGGGAGAGGGAUGUGGAAUUCCAGGUGUAGCGGUGAAAUGCGUAGAUAUCUGGAGGAACACCAAUGGCGAAGGCAGCUCGCUGGGACGGUACUGACGCUGAGACGCGAAAGCGUGGGGAGCAAACAGG
rnacentral:rRNA from 1 species